rnacentral:rRNA from 1 species
UACGAAGGGGGCUAGCGUUGUUCGGAAUUACUGGGCGUAAAGCGCACGUAGGCGGAUAUUUAAGUCAGGGGUGAAAUCCCGGGGCUCAACCCUGGAACUGCCUUUGAUACUGGGUAUCUCGAGUCCGAGAGAGGUGAGUGGAAUUCCGAGUGUAGAGGUGAAAUUCGUAGAUAUUCGGAGGAACACCAGUGGCGAAGGCGGCUCACUGGCUCGGUACUGACGCUGAGGUGCGAAAGCGUGGGGAGCAAACAGG